GGCCCGGGGAGUGGGGCCCGGAGCGCUGCCCUGCCCCGCCACACCUGCCCUGCCCCGCGGGGCGGCCCCGGCCCGGCGCGGGGGGCGCCCGCCCACCUGGGCGUUGCUGCCCGGGCUGCCGGCUCCGCCUCUUCCCGCUCUCCGCUCCCUUCCACUCCGGGACUGCGGGGAGCCGGGGGAAGGCGGUGCGGACACCAUGGCUCGUGUGCUGAGCCGGGACCCGGUGGACAUUGAGAACAUUCUGGCUUUAAAUCCCCGAAAACAAACACAUGCAACUCUUCACUCAACUGCAGCAAAGAAACUAGUCAAGAAGCAAUGGAAACGGAAUUCUGACAAAAACUGUUCAAACUGUGAGAAACUGGAAAAUAAUUUUGAUGACAUCAAGCACACGACUCUUAGUGAGCGAGGAGCACUUCGAGAAGCAAUGAGAUGUUUAAAGUGUGCAGAUGCCCCCUGUCAGAAGAGUUGCCCAACUAAUCUGGACAUCAAGUCAUUCAUCACAAGUAUUGCAAACAAGAACUACUAUGGAGCUGCCAAAAUGAUUCUUUCUGACAAUCCACUUGGCUUGACAUGCGGAAUGGUGUGUCCAACAUCAGAUCUCUGUGUUGGUGGCUGCAAUUUGUAUGCUACUGAGGAAGGACCAAUUAAUAUUGGUGGAUUGCAGCAGUUUGCUACUGAGGUUUUCAAAGCCAUGAAUAUUCCUCAGAUCAGAAACCCUUCCUUACCUUCUCUAGAAGAUAUGCCUGAAGCAUAUCAGGUGAAGAUAGCUCUUCUUGGUGCAGGACCUGCAAGUUUAAGUUGUGCUUCCUUUUUGGCUCGACUGGGCUAUUCAAACAUCACCAUAUUUGAAAAGCAGGAGUACCUUGGGGGCUUAAGUAUGUCUGAAAUCCCCCAGUUCCGUUUGCCAUAUGAUGUAGUGAAUUUUGAAGCCGAGCUUAUGAAGGAUCUUGGAGUGAAGAUAAUUUUUAGGAAAGGCCUUGCAGUGGAUGGAAUGACACUCCGUACACUGAAAGAAGAUGGCUUUAAAGCAGUCUUUAUUGGAAUAGGUUUGCCAGAACCAAACAGAGACAGUGUAUUCCAAGGACUGAGAAUGAAUCAAGGAUUCUACACAUCUAAAGACUUCUUACCUUUGGUAGCAAUGGCAAGUAAACCAGGGAUGUGUGCCUGUCACUCUCCAUUGCCACCAGUCCAUGGAACUGUGAUUGUACUCGGAGCAGGGGACACUGCUUUUGACUGCGCAACGUCUGCUCUGCGCUGCGGAGCUCGUCGCGUCUUCGUGGUCUUCAGGAAGGGAUUCACUCAUGUCAGGGCUGUCCCAGAAGAGAUGGAACUUGCAAAAGAAGAGAAGUGUGAAUUUCUGCCUUUCCUCUCUCCUCGGAAAGUUGUUCUUAAAGGUGGACAAAUUGUUGCUAUGGAAUUUGUUCGAACUGAACAAGACAGCGAAGGAAACUGGAAAGAAGAUGAGGAUCAGGUUGUCCGUCUGAAAGCCAAUGUGGUGAUCAGUGCCUUCGGCUCUGUCUUAAGUGACAGUAAAGUCAGAGAGGCCAUGGCACCUAUCAAGUUUAACAGAUGGGGUCUUCCUGAAAUAGACCCAGAAACGAUGCAAACAAGUGAGCCCUGGGUGUUUGCAGGGGGUGACAUUGGUGGUCUUGCCAACACUACAGUGGAAUCCGUGAACGAUGGCAAGCAAGCUUCCUGGUACAUGCACAGAUACAUCCAGUCCUUAUAUGGUGUUAGAGUUUCUACAGUUCCAGAACUACCUCUCUUCUAUACUCCUAUAGACUUAGUGGAUAUCAGUGUAGAAAUGGCUGGACUAAAGUUUCCAAAUCCUUUUGGCCUUGCCAGUGCAACCCCUACUACUAGUUCUUCAAUGAUUCGAAGAGCAUUUGAAGCUGGAUGGGGCUUUGCUGUCACUAAAACAUUCUCCCUGGAUAAGGAUAUUGUAACCAAUGUUUCUCCAAGGAUUGUGCGUGGAACUACUUCAGGUCCUCUGUAUGGCCCAGGCCAAGGCUCUUUUCUAAACAUUGAACUGAUCAGCGAGAAAACAGCAGCAUAUUGGUGUAAAAGCAUUGCUGAACUGAAGGCUGACUUUCCAAACCACGUUCUGAUUGCCAGCAUCAUGUGCAGCUAUAGCAGGGAGGACUGGACUGAACUUUCAAAAAUGGCUCAGGUUGCUGGUGCUGAUGCACUGGAGUUAAAUUUAUCAUGUCCUCAUGGUAUGGGGGAGCGAGGCAUGGGACUGGCCUGUGGGCAGGAUCCAGAGCUGGUACGGAACAUCUGUCGCUGGGUUAGACAAGCUGUUCACAUUCCUUUCUUUGCCAAACUGACCCCAAAUGUUACUGAUAUUGUGAAAAUUGCAAUGGCUGCGCAGGAAGGUGGUGCAGAUGGUGUUACAGCCACCAACACAGUGUCAGGACUGAUGGGACUGAAAGCAGACAGCACACCUUGGCCAGCAGUUGGUCGAGGACUGAGGACCACAUAUGGUGGCAUGUCAGGAAAUGCUAUCCGGCCCAUUGCCCUCCGUGCAGUGUCCGCCAUCGCCCGUGCUCUCCCAGGAUUUCCCAUCUUGGCAACCGGAGGCAUCGAUUCUGCUGAGGCUGGACUGCAGUUUCUGCACAGUGGGGCUUCUGUCUUACAGGUGUGCAGUGCGAUCCAAAAUCAAGAUUUCACUGUUAUUGAUGACUACUGCACGGGACUGCAAGCUCUUCUUUACCUGAAAAGCAUUGAGGAACUUGAAGACUGGAAUGGACAGAGUCCUGCAACCAUGUGCCAUCAGAAAGGAAAACCAGUACCAAGAAUUACUGAUCUGAUGGGAAAGAAACUUCCCAGUUUUGGUCCUUACCUGGAGCAACGCAAAAAGAUAAUAGCUGAAAACAAGAUAAAACUGAAGGCACAGAAUAUGGCUGCUGAGCUUCCUGAGAAAAAACACUUUGUUCCAAAGAAACCCAUUCCAGCAAUCAAGGAUGUAAUUGGAAAAGCACUGCAGUAUAUUGGAACAUAUGGUGAUCUGUGCAACACAGAGCAAGUUGUGGCUCUGAUUGAUGAGGAAAUGUGUAUCAACUGUGGCAAAUGCUACAUGACCUGUAAUGAUUCUGGCUACCAGCCUUUUGGAUCCUGAGCAAUAAAAGGAAGGCCAAGAGGCAGGACACAGCCUUAGAGGUACACUGCAAGCAGAAAAAUGGGUGUCAAAUUCAAACCUUUAAGGACGUACUGACUCCAGUUUGUGCAGUCCUCUUUUCCUCGUCAUCAGCUGGUGAUCCAGUUGGCACUGGAGUGGGCACAUGCUAUUGCACCGUGGUGACUGCUACAUCCUACACGCCUUUCUCUUCCCAACGAGCUUCGCAACAACUGAUUGCUACAAUGCCAUAAAAAAAAAAAAAAAGUAGUUAAUAUUCAACAAAAGGAAGUUCAUGCAUUAUUUUGCAUUCAGAUAAAUUAGUACCAUUCUCUGCAAAUAAAAAUUUCCAGGAUGAAUUCUUGCAUGCCAGUUCUUAGCCAGGAGCACAAUAUAUUGGUUGAAUUGUGUUUUCUUGUUAGCAAUAGAGAUUUUAUAGCAGAGGCCCUGGCAGUCUUUAUGAUGGAAGAGCAAACACUACUGCAUCCACUCUGACAUAAAAAGUAAUCAUUUCUGGAAGACUCCAUCACAGUGAAAAUUCCAGGCUGUCGACUGGAUUCAAACUGGUGAGCACCCAAACCGUGCCCAAAUGCCACCCAGUUGCAAGAUCUGUUCCGAAUUCCUGAGCUAUUAGGGGAAUAUAGUGUUUAUGAUAUGUGCCAGAUUGAUUGCAGCUGCAUGUAAAUUCUUUUUUGCUUGCCACACAACAACUACACACGGAAAUCAGAAUGAAAAUUUCCCUCUGCUGUCCUUUUCUGUAAAUACCUCCUGGACAAGUGAUAGGCCAGCUUUAUUUAAUGAGUUAAGAAAAUAGAUUGCUCUGACAGUACAGUUGUUCCUCAGUUCUAUUUGCUCUCAUUUUUAUGAUUAACAGAAAUAUUAGUUAUUACAAAUUAAGAGUUUUGCAAUACAAGUAAUUCUGAAGAAAUGUUGUUCACUCAUCAACUACAAGAGGAACGUUUAGCUCUCCCUUCACCACUAUGCACACCUUUGACUGUGAGAGAACAUUCUUUUAAGUGUAGCAUGAGAUUAUUGCUCCAAAGAAUGACUUGAACACAACUGAACCCUCAGCUCCUUAGGCUCGAAUACACCAGACACUUUUGAGGACAAAAGUCUGACUAGCUGUGUUUCUGCUUCGUAGCAUGAGAGUACUAUGUGCCAUGGAGAUUUCGUGUAUCAUUUGGAGGAGAAUUAAUUUAUCUGUGAAGUACUGAAGAGGGAAGGCUGUAAGGACCAUGUGGCUGGGACAGCCUGCCUGAAGAGGGCAAAAGAAAGAAAUGGUACAGCUAUUUAAAAAGAGGAGAAAAAGAGACCAUUGAUGAGAACAGAAAGACUGAGGAAACAAAAGCAGGAGUGGCAGGGAGAGACCGGAGAGCCCCAGCAUGGGGCAGGGAGAGCAGCCCCUCCGGCAGGGCUGCGCUGGCUGCUCCCAGGCUGGGCUGGCUGCUGCUCCCACUGCCACAGCUCCCACUGCCUGGAAAUGGGGCACAAAACGCUGCAGUGAUGUGCAUGGGUACUUACAGAUAAGCAAAUGUGUGGGGUUAUGGAUCUAGUUAAGCAGGGGUGUAAACAGAACCAAAUACUAAGAGCAGGUCUAUUAAUGCUCUUCUCCAAAACACAGGCUUUUUCUUUUUUAUUGUUUUAUCUCUUUUUUUUUUUAAUGUUUUGUUUUGAAGAUAAGAGGAAAUAGAAGCAGCUUUGGUUUUAUAUGGCCAGGCUUGCUGCUUUUGAUAGUUUUGGAACAUAGCUGCUGAUACAUUUAGAAAAUACAAUUUGGCAGUGUCAGCCCACGCUGUGUGCCGGUCUGUCAUGUGGGGGUGGGGAUGGAUAAGGAUCACAAUGCAAAAUGGGAACCGUGUGUAAAACCACAGUACUCGUCUCCAGAAGAGAAGUUUAUGUAAAUUACCAUUAAAGCCUUUACUCUUGUUUGCUGAUAAAUUUAUAGACAUUAGCAUCAAGGUAGCAAUCAGGAUUCAUCAGCUUUACUUUUUUAUAACCUGUUAGUCUCUGAUAACUUCUCUUUUCAAGUGACAUGCUGUAACAUUGUGCAGUAUUAAAUGAUAUGCACAAAUAAGUACCUAAUGGUAGAUUUAAAGAUGUUGCAGCAGUCCAAGUUCUUUCAUUUUCCUGAUUAUAAUGGCAUUUGCAUAAUGUAUGAAUUCAAACAUUAUUGCUGUUAAAUAAUGCAUAAAUAUUCUCCCAUGCUGAAAUACAUCUAUUUCCUCUCCAUGAAUUAUUUUGAAUGUAUCAUUCAGUUGUUUUUCUAUUUAAAAAUGUAGUUAGAACUCUGCAUAUAUCAGUAUUAUGACUGGAAGAAGUAUCAUCACAAGUAGUUGGCUAACACUCCAAACUGUAAAUGAAGUAUACAUUAUUAAAUGGGCCAUUCCUUCCUUCUUCAGAAAGCAUUAUCACCAGAAUACAAUAUUUAGCAUUUCCGAAAUGUCAGAAAGAAAUGCAGGUACAUAUUUGAUUAUCUGCCAUGUCUUAGGAAAGAAAAAAAGAAGAACAACAUAUUGCUACCUGACCUGAAGGGAAUAUAAACAUGGUCAUAUAUAAAGUGAUAAAUCUAUAAGACGGGAUUGUGUGAGUUCUUGAAUAGGUCUUUGUGAAACUAAGCACCUUCAACACCCAUUGACUUCCAAUCCCAUAUCCCCCAGGUGAUGGACCCUUUUAUUUAUAUUUGACUCUGUGAAAUGUGCCAUCCAGCAAACUCUUAGAUAAAUUCUGUCAACACUGUCACAGAAGUCAGUUACAUCAAUGACAGAUGACAGGAUAAAUGAGAGGACAUCAGGAUUCGAGUAGCUAAAGUUGAGCACAAAAAAAUUUAAGUCUGCACAACAUCUAACCGUAAAAAUGUCAAAAUGAAAAGAACAUAAAAUGUAUAUCCCUUCUGGGUCUAUAGCCCAGCUGAAAUGGUCAAAGGAGGUAAGGAAUGUAAUAAGCACCCAAGGACACAAAAAAUAUCUGGUCUGUAUGCUUACUUAGAAAUGUGCAAAUGUACAAUUUGCAUGCUUCACUCUAGUGUCUUACCCUGCUGCUUGUGCCACUGCAAAUCCUUAUUUAUGAACUAUCUGUUUUUUUGCAAUUUCAGAGUUUAAGUACGAUUUAAGUAUUGAAUUCUAAUUGUGUUUCCUCUCUCUUUUCCCUUCUCUAAAACUGGUGAUUCCUUUUUUAAUUACUUUCUGCUUGCCAUGUAGACAUGACUUAGUGUUUCAAUUUGGACUCUAACUUGCUGUAUUCUAUUGUCUCAGUCAAUUUUCUGUUUGGUGAAGGUAGGAAAUAAUCAAGCCUCCAAUAAACAUCAUCUUUUUUUUAAA